GAUCAUGGCUCAGAUUGAACGCUGGCGGCAGGCCUAACACAUGCAAGUCGAACGGUAACAGGAAGCAGCUUGCUGCUUUGCUGACGAGUGGCGGACGGGUGAGUAAUGUCUGGGAAACUGUCCGAUGGAGGGGGGAUAACUACUGGAAACGGUAGCUAAUACCGCAUAACGUCGCAAGACCAAAGAGGGGGACCUUAGGGCCUCUUGCCAUCGGAUGUGCCCAGAUGGGAUUAGCUAGUAGGG
rnacentral:rRNA from 1 species